AUUGAACGCUGGCGGCAGGCCUAACACAUGCAAGUCGAGCGAGCGGCGGACGGGAGAGUAAUGUCAGGGAAACUGCCUGAUGGAGGGGGAUAACUACUGGAAACGGUAGCUAAUACCGCAUACCAGCAGAAGUGCCCAGCUGGGAUUAGCUAGUAGGGGGGGUAACGGCUCACCUAGGCGACGAUCCCUCGCUGGUCUGAGAGGAUGACCAGCCACACGGGAACUGAGACACGUUCCAGACUCCUACGAGAGGCAGCAGUGGGGAAUAUUGCACAAGGGGCGCAAGCCUGAUGCAGCCAUGCCGCGUGUGUGAAGAAGGCCUUCGGGUUGUAAAGCACUUUCAGCGGGUGUGCGUUACCCGCAGAAGAAGCACCGGCUAACUCCGUGCCAGCAGCCGCGGUAAUUC
rnacentral:rRNA from 1 species